rnacentral:lncRNA from 1 species
GUCGGCCCGCCCUCCCUGGGGACGCGGAGCGUGUUUGUGUUUGUGUUCGUGUCCGACACCACGCCCCUCCCACGUCCGCCUGGAAGGGCCCCCACACCUACCCCACCCCCGACUGCCACCACCUGGAGCAAAACUGAUCGCUGUCCCCUUUUCGUCCCUCAGCACCCGCAACCUCCGGUUCUUGUGCACGCACUUCCAGGGACUGGCAGCACGUCACCAUCACCUCCUGAGAAGGUGAAUUGAUUAUUGUACUGAGUACAACAAACAGAGUUUAAUUUUCUUGUGGAACCUGCAUUGAGAAAG